AUGGCUGCUCAGACCUCCGCAUUCGUGCUGCGGUGCACGCGGCCCCUGCUGGCGUACAAUAAGUCUAGCGGCUACCGCUGGAGCCCCAUCCCAAAGCCACCUCCCCCUCACUACGAUCGCCUCUACGGUGUCCACUCGGUGCUGAACACGCUGCGUGUGGCGGCGCAGCGGCAGCAGCAACAGCAGAAGACCGAUCCGCUCCAAGAAACGGCAGACACACCAGGCUCGGCCUCUGCAGCUACAGCUGCAGCUUCCACUGCUCUCCAUGACGCUCAUCAGUCGUCAACGGCCGCAAUGCCUGUGUCGCUGCUUCACCCGCAUCGCGCGCAUCUCGCGUGCCUGUACGUUCGCGAUUUCAGCCUCGAGGAGGGUGGAGAGGGCGUAGAGGAGCUGGGCGGCUCCAACGCCGACGAUGCCGUUGCCUAUGAUGCGGUGAACAGCACCGAUCCUGGGUCCCGACCGGACAAGCACAGCCACUGCCCAGGGCGAGGGCGGCACAUUCGCAGGAAGAAGGUGAUUCCUUCUCGCUACACGGCGGUGCGCUGCAUCACUGCCCUGGCCAAAUCGUUGAAUGUCCCUGUGCGGUUCGUGCCACGCGCGGAGCUGGUGCAGCUCUGCGGGGAGCGACGGAACCAGAACAUCGUUCUCGAGGCGUCGUCGUAUAAGCCGCAGCGGAUACGACACCUCGGCGAGAUAUGGGGAGCGGAGGGCGCGGCGGCAAAGACCACAGCUGCCGCCUCCGCUGGCCUCGUCACGGUGCUCUUCCUCGAGCGCAUCGUCGACCCCGCCAACAUCGGGGGCAUCCUUCGCACCGCGUUUUUCUUCGGGGUCGAUCAUGUGAUUCUGAGCCGCCAGUGCGCGAGCUGCACGGCAGCCGUCUCGCGCACAAGCACGGGCUUUCUGGAGCACCUGCGCGUGUAUCAGGCCUCCACAUCCUCCGCCGCCUUCCUGCGGGCCUCGCGGCAGGUCUGGGCAUCGGCGGUGCCGUCGUUGUCGUCGUCCAUCACCGGUGCCAGCGGGCUGGAAGUGAUUGCGAGUAUGGUGGUGUCGCGCACGAGGGCGCAGCGACGUGACCGGAACGAGAGCGCUCCGGCGUUGCAGUUUCCCGCUUCCGACGAGUCGGCGCCGUCCGAGGUGAGCGUCGAGAGCGGCAGCGACCACGUGCGCUUGUUUGCCCAGCAGCCGAAUUCGUGUCUCCCUGCUGUGCGCGUGCUGCUGCUCGGUAACGAGGACGCCGGCUUGCCGCCAGAUCUCCUGCAGUGGUGCACACAUGUGGCGCACAUCCGCUCUCCACGGCAGGCGCGUCUGCGCCACACGCGCACCAACAUGCAAGGAGCGUCGCACGAGGAAGAACCAGAGACGUGCGCUGUCGACGCCGCGGUGGGCGGGACGGACGUGCAGCUCUCCUCCAACCCCCUUGACAGCACCGCCGUCGCAUCCGCGGCUUCAGCGGAGGCGUUCGAUAAGCACCAGCACAACCUGCGCCGCCUGGCACGUCUCCGCGACAAAGAGGUGUCGCUGAACGUCAACACCGCCGCGGCAGCGCUGCUGGCCGCCUUGGGCGGGGUGGAGGGGCGGCUGGGAAACGGCGGCGGUCAGCUGGGGUUGGUCGAUGUGCAGCCGCUGUGUUCGCCCUGA
rnacentral:rRNA from 1 species